rnacentral:rRNA from 1 species
UACAGAGACUGCAAGCGUUAUUCGGAUUCACUGGGCGUAAAGGGUGCGCAGGCGGCCGGGUGUGUCAGAUGUGGAAUCCCGAGGCUUAACCUCGGAACUGCGUCUGAAACUACUCGGCUAGAGUAUUGGAGAGGGUAACGGAAUUCACGGUGUAGCAGUGAAAUGCGUAGAGAUCUGGAGGAAUACCGAUGGCGAAGGCAGCCCCUC